AACCUGAAGGGAACUGUCAGACCAGGUAUCUUUCAGAAUCUACUGGAUGUAAUCGACAGCUCAGGCAGAGCUGUUGGGUGAGUGGAACUCGAAGCUGAUCGAGGGAGGAGUAGUGCGGGGCAUUGACGCUCUCAGGCAUCAGUCCAGCGUCUGAAACUCCUCCACGCACAGGUUCCUCUUGGCCAAGAGCCUUGUAGAUUGGGACGACCUCCACACUAAUUUGGGAGAUGGAUGAAGGCCAGUGAACUCGGGUAAAUUCGUGAACACGAGCGUCAGGAACUAACCACCACCUCUGGGAUCCAUUCAACUGGUCAGCCGUUCAAUGUCCAGUUUGUUGAUAUCACAGGCAGAGCAAACACUGCCAGCCCCCUUCAUUGUUAUGGAUGAGUCCACUACUCAGUAGGGGUAUAUGGUGGCUGUUAUUCCUCUGAAUACACCUGUAUGUCUGAGUGUUUGGAGUCGGCAAGAGUAGGUUGACCAUCAGUUUGUGUGUGGGCAAAGGUACCAUAGUGGUGAAGAGAAGCUACUAAUUCUGGUGAUGUUAAAGUAUUAGUGUUGGUGCUGUAACUGGCAUCAUUGUCACUUGUAAUAGUGCUCAAAGGUGCUAUGUAAGAGUAUUGUGUGUGUUCUUGUACAUGUAAGUGGAAAAUGUACCUAAGUUUAACGGUACCAAAUAAGUAAAGCCAGGGAGUUGACCCCCAUCAUUCUCUCCCAUUGCUUGAUAUCGGAAUUACAGUGUACCCAUGUCAUAACCCCCGAGCCACAAUACCAAAGAUAAGAGGUUAUGGAGUAAUUUUAUGAAAUGAAAUAACUAGACAAAACUAAUGGAGAAAAUAAAUGAAGGAAGAAAUUAAGAGGAAACCAGGUUGAGUUUAAAAGUUAUCUUAUAAAUGGUUUCAGCGAUUCGAUUGUAAUUUACCAUGGUACCCAGUUGGGAGGAAGGAAUGAGCUAAUGUAGGUGUUUUUAACUGUGAUUUGUAAUAACCAUUUCUCUGUGCUGGUAUCUAAUAAACAUUUAACGGUAACGGAGUAUUUCAGAUUGCUAAUACUUUUGUUCCAUAUUUUUCCAAGGUACAGUAACAUUGCACAGUAUAUGUAAUUCUGUACUAAUUAAUUAGGGACAUAAUUAUUUCAGUAGGUUAUGUGUGUGUGUUUAUAUGCUGCUUUUAUUGAUAUAUACAUUAUAUAUUCUGUUACUUCUUACCAAAGUUCGAAUGUGUUUAGGCCUGUGUAAUCACGAAUGUGUUAGGCACAUGGUACAUAACAAUAAACGCCUGGAGUAAGACUUGG